rnacentral:rRNA from 1 species
AGAGUUUGAUCAUGGCUCAGAUUGAACGCUGGCGGCAGGCUUAACACAUGCAAGUCGAGCGGAAACGAUGAUAGCUUGCUAUCAGGCGUCGAGCGGCGGACGGGUGAGUAAUACUUAGGAAUCUACCUAGUAGUGGGGAUAGCACGGGGAAACUCGUAUUAAUACCGCAUACGACCUACGGGAGAAAGGGGGCAGUUUACUGCUCUCGCUAUUAGAUGAGCCUAAGUCGGAUUAGCUAGAUGGUGGGGUAAAGGCCUACCAUGGCGACGAUCUGUAGCUGGUCUGAGAGGAUGAUCAGCCACACCGGGACUGAGACACGGCCCGGACUCCUACGGGAGGCAGCAGUGGGGAAUAUUGGACAAUGGGGGAAACCCUGAUCCAGCCAUGCCGCGUGUGUGAAGAAGGCCUUUUGGUUGUAAAGCACUUUAAGCAGUGAAGAAGACUCCUCGGUUGAUACCCGUGGACGAUGACAUUAGCUGCAGAAUAAGCACCGACUAACUCUGUGCCAGCAGCCGCGGUAAUACAGAGGGUGCAAGCGUUAAGUCGGAAUUACGUGGGACGUAAAGGGAGCGUAGGUGGCUCGAUAAGUCAGAUGUGAAAUCCCCGGGCCCAACCUGGGAACUGCAUCUGAUACUGUUGAGCUAGAGUAUGUGAGAGGAAGGUAGAAUUCCAGGUGUAGCGGUGAAAUGCGUAGAGAUCUGGAGGAAUACCGAUGGCGAAGGCAGCCUUCUGGCAUAAUACUGACACUGAGGCUCGAAAGCGUGGGUAGCAAACAGGAUUAGAUACCCUGGUAGUCCACGCCGUAAACGAUGUCUACUAGUCGUUGGGUCCCUUGAGGACUUAGUGACGCAGCUAACGCAAUAAGUAGGCGCCUGGGGAGUACGGCCGCAAGGUUAAAACUCAAAUGAAUUGACGGGGGCCCGCACAAGCGGUGGAGCAUGUGGUUUAAUUCGAUGCAACGCGAAGAACCUUACCUGGUCUUGACAUAUCUAGAAUCCUGCAGAGAUGCGGGAGUGCCUUCGGGAAUUAGAAUACAGGUGCUGCAUGGCUGUCGUCAGCUCGUGUCGUGAGAUGUUGGGUUAAGUCCCGCAACGAGCGCAACCCUUGUCCUUAGUUACCAGCGGGUUAAGCCGGGAACUCUAAGGAUACUGCCAGUGACAAACUGGAGGAAGGCGGGGACGACGUCAAGUCAUCAUGGCCCUUACGACCAGGGCUACACACGUGCUACAAUGGUAGGUACAGAGGGCAGCUACACAGCGAUGUGAUGCGAAUCUCAAAAAGCCUAUCGUAGUCCAGAUUGGAGUCUGCAACUCGACUCCAUGAAGUAGGAAUCGCUAGUAAUCGCGGAUCAGAAUGCCGCGGUGAAUACGUUCCCGGGCCUUGUACACACCGCCCGUCACACCAUGGGAGUUGAUUGCACCAGAAGUGGAUAGCUUAACCUUCGGGGAGGCGUUCACCACGGUGUGGUUGAUGACUGGGGUGAAGUCGUAACAAGGUAGCCGUAGGGGAACCUGCGGCUG